UCUGAGCUGGCUGAAUUAUGGGUGUCUUAAGGGCAGCCAGAGCCCUGAUGGGUGAGAAGGCAUCCUUGAGAAGUGGCCUCCUACACCUGUAAGAAUAUGGGUAGAGAGGAAAGGAAAUAGCAUUUUGUUGGUGCUGGAGGCCACAGGGCAAUAGGUGGGAAGCAAUAGAGGCAAGAGAUGUAGAUAUGAGCAUGAUUGCAAUUCCCUGGGGGAGGAACUUUCAGAAGGAUAAUGAAGGAUGACAUGAGGAUGCUCAUCAUGUGCCUGGCAUGGUGUUAGGCAUGAUUCAAGGAUUCCUCAUUUAAUUCCCGUAACAACGCUAUAGGACAGGUGCAAUUAUGACAUCAUUGGAGAUGAGAAAACUGAAGCUGAGGAAGUAGAAGUUAGUUACCCUGGUUCUCUCAACUAGUAGGUGCAGAACUAGGAUGUACAGACCAAGUGCUACCCAGAGAGAAGACUCUGCUGAGUGCCUGCAACCAAGAGGUCUUGGAAGGUCUCCUUCACCCUGGCUUAAGAGUAACAGGAGGAAGAUACACUGGAAACAAUGGCAGCACCGGGCAUAUCUCUGGGUCCUUGCUCGAUUAGACUUUUCAGUCUCUGUCUCAUACUUGCCAGCUGCAAGCUCUGGAUUUGGGAGGAGCUGAGAAGGAGACAGGCUGGAGAGGGAGGGGCAGCAAAUCCAGGUCACCUACAGGCAGUGCCCCAAGUCCUGAGGAGGGGGCCACUCACAUUCCACUGAAGAAAGAAGCUCCAGCACAAAGCAUCCAGGAUGGAACCAGAAACUGGAAAGCUGACAGCUCCACCCCACGUAAUCCAACCUCCCCACCUCUCCCUGACCCCAUCCUGCGGUGUAAAUAAAUAAUUGAGAAAACACA